rnacentral:rRNA from 1 species
GAUGAACGCUGGCGGCGUGCCUAAUACAUGCAAGUCGAGCGAACAGACGAGGAGCUUGCUCCUCUGACGUUAGCGGCGGACGGGUGAGUAACACGUGGAUAACCUACCUAUAAGACUGGGAGAACUUCGGGAAACCGGAGCUAAUACCGGAUAAUAUAUUGAACCGCAUGGUUCAAUAGUGAAAGACGGUUUUGCUGUCACUUAUAGAUGGAUCCGCGCCGCAUUAGCUAGUUGGUAAGGUAACGGCUUACCAAGGCAACGAUGCGUAGCCGACCUGAGAGGGUGAUCGGCCACACUGGAACUGAGACACGGUCCAGACUCCUACGGGAGGCAGCAGUAGGGAAUCUUCCGCAAUGGGCGAAAGCCUGACGGAGCCACGCCGCGUGAGUGAUGAAGGUCUUCGGAUCGUAAAACUCUGUUAUUAGGGAAGAACAAAUGUGUAAGUAACUAUGCACGUCUUGACGGUACCUAAUCAGAAAGCCACGGCUAACUACGUG